ensembl:misc_RNA 7SK 7SK RNA
GGAUGUGAGGGCAAUCUGGCUGUGACAUCUGUCACCCCAUUGAUCUCCACAGUUGAUUCAGCUGCUCUGGCUGGCUAGGCGGGUGUCCCUUUCCUCCCUCACCGCUCCAUGUGUGUCCCUCUUGAAGCUGUGCGCUAGGACAAAAAGGACGACCAACCCAAUAGAGGAGGAUGGUUUCCUCCCCAUCAAGGGUGUAAGAGUAGCUGCGCUUGCCUGUUAGAACCUCCAAACAAGCUCUCGAGAAGGAAAUUUAACACAUCAUAUUCAACUCCAUUUACUAUUUCAAAAAUACCAGAACACCCUUUGCUGUAAGUAUAU